UCUUGGGCGCAUGCUCGCUGCAUGCUACGGCCCUCACCCGGCGCAGGCAUAGGAACGGCCCACGGCACAGUCCUCCCAGCUCCCGGUCCCCCGCCCCGCGCGGCUUCAGAGAUUGUUGAACGGUGUCGGCCUCGGGUCUUGUCGGCUUCGCGCCUCCCCCGCGACUCAGGAGCAUCACUGUGUGGAUUAGUCUCAAAGACUCUUGAGGUACCUUGCCAUGACCUCUUCUCCAUAAUUCAGCAGGCAUGUUGUGUUUUCACUGGAAGAUGUGGGUUCCAGUUUACAGCAGAGGCAGAGUGACCUUGGCCGUGGUACAAACCAACCUAGGAACCAGAUGAGCAGAGACAUCUGCGUCCACACCUGGCCAUGCUCCUAUUAUUUAGAACUUGAGAAGCAAUGGGUCCCUGGAAAACUUUCAUUAACUUCUCUCUCACUAAAAUUUAUGACUGAUAAAACUAGAGAAAUUCUUGUCAACUUUCCCCUUUCUAGUAUAAUUGAGAUCAAGAAAGAAGCUUCUCAUUUUAUCUUCAGUUCUAUUACCAUCCUGGAAAAGGACCACAACAAGCACUGGUUCAGUUCCUUGCAGCCUAGUCGAAAUGUCGUUUUCAGCAUCAUCGAGCAUUUCUGGAGAGAGAUGCUGUUGUCCCAGUCAGGAGCUGCUGUUGAGGAAUCAUCCUCCCCCAUGACCAAGGGGAAGGAGUUGACUGGUCUGAUGGCCUGUACCCAGAAGCGUCUGGAAGACACAGCCAGAGUCCUCCACCAUCAGGGCGAGCAGCUUGACAGUAUCUCGAGAGGCCUGGACAAGAUGGAAUCUGACCUGGAUGUGGCUGACAGGCUGCUGACAGAACUGGAGUCUCCUUCUUGGUGGCCCUUUAGCUUCAAGCUUUGGAAGAUGCCAUCAGAAACAAAGCCCAAGUGGGACGUCUCAAUGGCUACUUCCAAAGCUUUUGGAAAAGAAGGGAUAGUGAUCAAAAUUCCUGCUGUUAUUUCCCAAAGAACAGAAUCUCAUGUUAAACCAGGAAGGCUCACCGUCCUUGUUUCUGGGUUGGAAAUCCACCACUCAGAUUCUUUGCUCAUGCACAGAUUUGAAAGAGAAGAAGUAGAUGACAUCAAGGUUCAUACACCUUAUGAAAUUAGCAUCCGCCAGCGGUUCAUUGGGAAGCCAGAUAUAGCUUAUCGUUUGAUAUCUGCCAAGAUGCCGGAGGUUAUCCCCAUUUUGGAAGUGCAGUUCAGCAAGAAGAUCGAGUUUUUAGAAGAUGCCUUGAUGCUCAGAAGCACUAGAACCUCUCCCCUAGCAGAGAAGGGCUGCUCAGUCUGGCAUGCAGCAUCUGGGCUGAUGGACCGAGCCAUGCACUGUGAGCCCUUCUCCGGGAACCAGGAAGGGAGACCGCUUCAGCUACAGACGAGCGAACCAUUCAUUUCCGAGGGGGACAGCCAGGAACUGAGACAGAUCCUGAGGAAACUAAAAGAUCUCGCGUUGGAUGCCGAAUCAGAGCUGGAGAGACAGGACGAGGCCUUGGAUGGCAUCGCUGCAGCUGUGGACCGGACAACCUUAACCAUUGACAAGCAUAAUCGACGAGUGAAAAAACUGACCUAGAAGGACAAGAAAGCAUAGAGGUGACUGCUUUUGUUGAGAAUCUCUUCUCUGAGUAUGUUGUUCUCAAGUCCUGCAUGCCUCCUUUGAGAUGACGACCCCAGGAAGUCAUUCCAAGCGCCCUGCCCCGGGAGGUGUACAGCUGCCUCAGGGUGAAGGGCUGCCGUUGACGGCUGUGAGCAGCUUAGCUUGGGGUGAUUGUGGCCGCCACCAAGGGAUUCCCUUUCAGGGAGCUGAAAGUGCAGCUGGAGGAGAGGAGUUCCUGCCUGCAAAUACAGCGAGCCACUUCCUCCCAAGGCCCUCUCGGGCUGCUUGUGGAGUCAGGAGCACACACGCAUUCACACAUGGGCUGAGCCCUAUUGAGGUGGCCACAACAGCCAGGCGGCUCUUCAUUCUGAGGGUGGGCUGCACCCAGCACUCAGGGACCACUCUGCUUGUCCACAAUCCCAGGUCUCCAGUGGCACAACUAGCUGCAUUUUCAUCCAUUUUCCAUUCUUGAUAAGCAUAAAAAGGCUGGUUUAAGUCUCUGUGAAAGAAAUCUACUUAUUUCUAACCCUCUGCCUAGAUGAACACUGCAGGCAUAUCCUAUGCCAGCAAAAUCUCUUCUCCAGGAUCACAUUCAGGUCUGAGCCUGCCUCUCCUACAUGGGCUGCUCAGCACAGACCCCACUGCCUUCACUUUGUUCCAGUUUUCUUUGGUGGACAGUUCAGUUUCUUUUUGGUUGUAUUGUAAUUUCUAACCAAAGCUGAGCCUAGUAUACCUCGAGGUCAUCCUAUAAGCACCUGAAAUAUUUUCACUGCUCAGUUUUUAGUCAAACAUGAAAAUAGUACAUACUGCACCUAUUUUAAAAAGUGUUAAUUUUUGCUUUUUUGCCCCAUUUCUACCCGGAAACAAAAGAGAAAUGCCAGCUUUAGAAUAUUUUUUGAAGCUAUGCAUUGAUGCUGCUUUUUGCUUGGUUUUGGGUAUCUUAGUGUGUCCCUGGGAGAGCCCCUCAUGGGGAGACAGAGGAAAGUAGAGAAGUGGGUGACCUCCCCCCAUUCUCACCACAAGCCACCUCCAGACUGCUUUGAAAUAGCAUCCCAAAGAACCUUGCACAGAGGCUCAUUUAGACCUUGUAGAGAUGUUACUUUGAAGCGCCUUUCCUACAGCCCUCCUGGGAUGGCGCCCUCAAGCCCUGUGCUGCCCUGCUGCACCACUCCACUUGCAUACUAAGUCCUGGAUCGUUUUAAGAAUUAAUUCACACAUGCAGUGUUAGUUUUCUGGGGCUGCCCCAACAAAGUACCACAAACAGGAGGCUUACAACAAUAGGAAUGCACUUCCGGAGGCCACAAGUACAGGAUCGAGGUGUAGGCAGGCUGUGCUCCUUCUGGAGACUCUAGGAGAGGGUCAUUCCUGCCACUUCUAGUUGCUGGUACCUCCAUGUAUCCCUGAGCUUGUGGCCACAUCACCCCAGUCUCUGCCUCCAUUGUCAUGUGGCCAUCUUCCUGUGUUUCUGUGUCUCAAAUCUCCCUCUCCUCUCUCUUAUAAGGAUCCAUCCUAAUCCAAGGUCAUCUUAUCUUGAGAUCCUUACCUUGAUGACAUCUACAGAGACCCCGUUUCCAGAUAAGGUCACAUUCAGUGGUUCCCAGUGAGUAUGAAUUUUGGGUCACCUAGGGAUGCCUAGCCUUGUCAUAGCUGACCCAUUCCAAAAAGACAUGGAAAGUAGCACUUUUAGAAAGUAAUGUUCAUAAGGGUCUUUCAAUUCUUCCCUGUUUUGCAAUUUGGUAUAUUAUAUUCCUAAUCUCUGUUUGUCUUACUUGGUUUGUACUUAUUAACCUCCAAAAUGAGAAGUGGACCUGUUCUUUCAAGGUUUCUCACGCUAAUGCAGUAUGUGAGCAGUUUGCUCUUGACCUUUCCUGGCACAUCAAGUGAUGGAGCUCUUGGAGCUCAUGCUCAUUCCAGGGGGUCUGAGCCCCAUGCAGCCCCUUCUAGUGCUUGAUGACAGGGAGGUCAGGGAGGACACGGCAGGUGUGAAGAUGUGUCAACAAGGACAGUUAUUGAGAGCUCAUGCCUAGAGGCAGCGGCAGCUGGAUCACGUCCCUAGGGAACUUGGAGGGAUGCUGGAGGAAAGGCAGCUCGUGCCCUGGGCACAGGGCAAGUGCAGGUGUGCAGGCUGUGCCCAAAUACUGUAGCUUCUCACAGCAGCCCAUGAAGAGUGAUUUCCCCUGAGGUAGAGUAUGUGGUUCUCACCGUGGCCACACACUGGGCUCAUGCCAGGAACUCAGAAGAUACAAACACACACACACGCGCGCGGGCGCUGAUCCCAGACCCCUCAGUCAGAGUCUCUGAGGGUAUGUACAUUACCCAAAUGUUUCUAAUGAGCAGAAGGGGAAGAUCCGCAGGCCAGGUGACUUACUGCCGCCAGACCUGCUCUCUCUCUACAUGUAGCUCUAGAGAGCCCUGAACAGCUGAGAUGAAAACGAAUCUGUCCCACUCAUGACGCUGUUCUGAAUCCAGGUGGGCACUGCUCAAGAGUUCCCAGUGCAGCCUCCAGCAGCCAGCCUGCCUCUGCUUGUCCUGAAAACAGAUACCACCCAGCACUCGUGUGGCAUCAGGGCCGUACACACCUCGGCUGCUAACAGGCCUCUGGAAAGCAGGGGGCCAGGACUCCGUUGGUGAUCCCUCGCCAGGAGCCAGCCCUGAGCUCUCUGGGCCUCACGCUCUCCUAAUCCAUCACCUGGGGAUGCAUAAAGCCCAGACACUCUGGGCAUGAAGGUGUGUGGUACAGAAGACAUUGUACUGUUAGAGGAUUAUUCUCCGGGCCUUUUCUCUCCCAUGAAUAGUUAAAUUGAUAGAGACUAUGGUCUGUUUCUAUGUGGAGACUUAGAGUGUAAAAAAAAAAAAAAAAAAGCCAUCAAGGGCCACUUUAUGCUAUUUUUUUAAACCUUGGCCCCAGAGUUAACUUUUUUAACCUUAACCCCUUCCAGUAGCAGAAAAUCCACGUGCCAAACUGUUAGUCACCAAGGCUGAAACAAAAUUGCCGGGAACCGUAUAACACCAGGCACUGAUUCCCACGGCACACUGAUUCCCCACCCCAGGUGCACUAAUUCCACCUCCCAUUGCUCCCUCAACUUACAGUGUACUGACUCUGCCUCCACACUUCAGACAUGGGAAGGACACGAGGGGGAACAGAUAUUGUGAUGCUCCUAGAAGCAGUACCAGGGGAAGGAGAUGAGCAGCAUCCAGGAAAGCUGUGGCCCGGCCCUCAUUGCUCACCCACAAGGAGUAGAUGCAUCGACCCCCAGUGCUGGCUCUCCUUGCUGUCUGUAGGACUUCAGUCCAGCGUGUGAUACAUGUGCUCUGUGUGGGCUCUGGCUUCCCAUCCAGGUGUGUGGUCCUUCCGUCUGACGUUGAAGCCUUCCUAUUGGUGACAGCCAGGUUGUACUGGCACUGGUCAUCAUCAUUCUCUUCUUCGUAGUCUGUGCGCUCCCCAUGCAACAGUUAAUGAGUACCACCUCAGCACAGAGCACAGCAGUCCUUGGACUACAGCACUCCAUCUGAGUGGCCCACCAGUGUGAGUCACAGGUCACAGCGCCCAGUAACUAUGGAAGACCAGCAAUCUGUGCCCUAUCCAGUGGACACCAAACAGUACUGCUUUCCUCAAGUUUUGGGGCCACCAUACGAACUUUUUACUCUUCUCCCAGUCUUCUGCUUCAGUCACAGACCCUGGACCUUUCACACCCCAGGGAGGAGUUUCCCAGGACGUGGGACUUUGGCAUGAACAUUAGGAUGUCACUUCCCUGUCCUGGGACCUGAGGAACCCUAGUGAAUGCAGGGUCCACAUGGUCCCUCUGAAAAGGCACAGCGGUAAAGAAAUUCAUUAGCCAAAGUGGCUUCACAGCGCUAAAACCUCCCGCCUGUGUUUCUCAAAUAAGCAAGGCACACACAUCCUUUGUCGGGGCGUACUACACUAGUUUCCUGUGCUCUCCCAUCUCCACCUCCACUGCUUCCUCCCUCCAUGGGAGAGGGACCACACGCUCACCAGAGCACUCCAAGGAGGACUAGCUGGGAAGGGCGCAGGAUGUGCACAGCCACGGGGCUCCCUUCGGCCCAUCUGCUGCUGGCUUUGAGCAGCCCAGCACCCCACCGGACACCGGGGGCCCUGUUCUUAAUGCACCACCCAGGGAAACUUGGGUCGAGCUCUGGACUCUGGGAAGAGCUGAGGAAGCUGGGUCAGACAUAGAAUUUCUCUUGGAAGGACAGGAGUUGUGGCACCCCAAGUUCUCUGCAGACCAGCAGAGAACGGUAUCACCAUCUUCCCUGGUAUCACCCCACCCUCCUGCCCCCCAGGGAGGGGUGCCACUCCUAGCUGGCCCGGCUUUGGCUCCUGGCCAGCUGAGAGCCAAGGAUGGGAGAAGGAAAUGUGCAUGAGACAGCUACACCAGCUCACCUAGGCCCAGGCUCCAGACAGGGAUGGUGACGCCCGGGGGUGGGCCCACACCCAGCUCCUCACUCCAAGGGGCAGUGGGACCCUCAUGGCCUCAUCUCUUGGACCCCAUCCUCCCCGAGUGCUGUCAGUUCCUCCCCAGUUGCUGUUGGUCCCACUCCCCACUGCAGUGUACGCAGCGCCUUGUUACAGCCAGAGGAAGACUUUGGGCCAACUUUCCACUGAGGAAAGGGAGGCUGCUGUCCAUCCUCCCCUCCUAAGCCUGGCUCAGGAACGAUACUGCACAGAGCUCAAGGAGAGGCAGCUGAGGAGGGUUGAGGAGGAAGAGAGGCUCCUGGUUUAAUCCCCACCCCCUGACGAAGGGAAGGGAAGCUGAGGCUCUGCAGAAGAAGAGUGAACCAUCCCCUAGGCAGCCCAGGGCCCCGCUGUGGUGAGAGCCAAAGUCUUACCCUGAGAAGGAGCAUAGGGCAGACAACCUCUGAGUCUACCCUCUGGGCCAAACCAUCCUGCCCAGGAGGUCAGGCGUUCCUCCCCAACUCUAGUCCUGUAUUUUCAGGUCUUCACUGAAAGAGGCCAAAUGAGUUUCAAAGAGUUUAAGGAAAUCAAAAUUAAAAAGUAGAAAAAUUCACAAAUACGGAAUCUGCAAAUAAUGAGGGUCAACUAAUUAAUGGUUUGUGUUUACUUUCUCUCAGAAAGGAUCAUGCUGGCUUAAAAUAAAAACAUGUAUAUGGAAUGCUUAAAACUGGAAAAAAGCUUAGGAAACUCUGGCUUGUGGAGGAGGAAACAAACCAGGAUACUGGGUGGAGUCACCUCGGGAGGCUAGACCAAGGCCAAACGGGCAUGUAAAUACCUACUUUUGUCAUAUCUCUGGAUGAAUGUGGGCAAGCUGAAGAGUUCACGGCAGAAAUAGUUUUUUCCCACACACCACCUCCUAUGCAGAGCUGUCUGGGGUCCUUCUUUAAGGUACUAACUGCAUGCUGCAGUUCUGGAACCCUCCUGGUUCUUCCGUGACCCACAAACAUUGGAACUAAAUGUCUGCAUAGAUUAGGGAUGGCUCCAGGGUCCUUGCAAGUUCUGGGUGCUUCUUACUAACUUUUCUAAUUUAUAAUUAAAAAUGCAAGCAGCUGUGUGGAGCUUUGCAACACAAGUUUGCCUUCCCUGGAGCUUCUGGAUCAGUGUCUUGAUAUUGCAAUGCAAACUUAAAAACAAAACAUUAAAUUUCCUGUAAAACCAACAAAAUAAAUUGUAG